rnacentral:rRNA from 1 species
GACGAACGCUGGCGGCGUGCCUAAUACAUGCAAGUCGAACGCAGUGGGGAAGGAUGAGUAACACGUGGGUAACCUCCCAUCAGAGGGGAUAAAACUUGGAAACAGGUGCUAAACAGACACUGAUGGAUGGACCCGCGGUGCAUUAGCGAGUUGGGGAGGUAACGGCUCACCAAGGCCACGAGGCAUAGCCGACCGGAGAGGGUGAUCGGCCACCCUGGGACUUAGCCCCGGCCCAGACUCCUACGGGAGGCAGCAGUAGUGAAUCUUCGGCAAUGGACGAAAGUCUGACCGAGCAACGCCGCGUGAGUGAAGAAGGUUUUCGGAUCGUAAAACUCUGUUGUUAGAGAAGCGGUAUCUAACCAGAAAGCCACGGCUAACUACGUGCCAGCAGCCGCGGUAAUUC